CAAAGGCAAUCGAUUUUUUGGUGCUGAAGCUGGAAAAACACGCAAUGAAAUGUUUCUAUGGAGAAAUGGGGAGCUGUGAUGGACUCUCUAAAAUAUCUGGCGUUGUGUUAGUGCUGUUGGUCUUAUUUACUGAGGUUUCUGGUAUAAUAUGUCCCAAAACGGGAGAAAGCUGUGAGUCGUGCUGUGAGGGGAGGUGUUGUAUGGAUGAUGAAGAGGCUGUGUCCUACACCUACAGAAUCUCCUUCUGGAAUCUCUGGUAUU